GAUGAACGCUGGCGGCGUGCUUAACACAUGCAAGUCGAACGAAGAUGCCGGAGUGCUUGCACUUUGGCAGACUGAGUGGCGGACGGGUGAGUAACGCGUGGGUAACCUGCCUUAUACAGGGGGAUAACAGUUGGAAACGACUGCUAAUACCGCAUAAGCGCACGGUAUCGCAUGAUACAGUGUGAAAAACUCCGGUGGUAUAAGAUGGACCCGCGUCUGAUUAGCUUGUUGGUGAGGUAACGGCCCACCAAGACGACGAUCAGUAGCCGGCCUGAGAGGGUGAACGGCCACAUUGGGACUGAGACACGGCCCAAACUCCUACGGGAGGCAGCAGUGGGGAAUAUUGCACAAUGGGGGAAACCCUGAUGCAGCGACGCCGCGUGAGUGAUGAAGUAUUUCGGUAUGUAAAACUCUAUCAGCAGGGAAGAUAAUGACGGUACCUGACUAAGAAGCACCGGCUAAAUACGUGCCAGCAGCCGC
rnacentral:rRNA from 1 species